GUCGAACGAGGAACGCGUAAAUCGAACUGUUUAGAACGAUUUAUCAGCGUGGCGAUAAAGAAAGAAGGAGAAGCGGCGGGAUAAUUUUCAUAGAUUCGACCGGCGUGCAGAUUUCUAUCUUGAAGCUGCGGCCGCGAUAACACGUCGGCUAAGUUCGGUCAUACCGCGGCAGAUAAGGGGUGGGAGUUAAGAAAGGAGCAUUACUUUCGUAGUAAACACACAAAUAUUUCUGGAAACAAUGGGAAGAGCACCGUCGUGAUUCUGAUCGUUCGGGAUUCUUCAGCGGAACCGAGCCAGCCACGGAUAGAAAUGUUUUGCAGCGUCGAACUUAUCUCUCCUCUUUUACCCCCCGGCGUUUCUCAGACGACCGACACAGCGUCUGUGCGUCGUUCGACAACGUUUUGGCACUAGUUGUCACGACCGGCAAUUUCUCAGGAAAUUUGCUUAUCGCCAUGUUCUCGAAAUUUCGCCGUCUUUAUUCCGACUUACGAGCCGUUUCAUACGGGCCAAAGUGAUUGUAACUCCACUUUUCGAAAUUUUGGAAAUGUCGGAGGUUUUAGUCGCCGAAACGCUCGAUCGAUGCUUAUUUUGUAAAAUUUCAUCCAUUACCUCUGCCGUUUGCUUUGUCAAGCCAAACUGUUUGGCAAAUAAGCCGCUCAUAUCGGAUAUACGUAUAUCUUCGAGGAUCGGAAACACACUAACGAAGUAUCGAAGCGAGAACCAAUGAAUUGUCGCAGUUAUCUUCCAUAAAUCUUCUGUAUCUCGAAAUAUUGUCAAGGAUAAUUCAAGCUCGUCCGAUCGGAGGAUAUACGGCCGCGAUGAAUAUUCCUUUUUUUCCCGAAAACGAUCGAUGUUUGUUUAUCUGAAAUCGAUACGAUGCGAAUCGUAAAAAGAUACGAUAAAAGCAAAUCGAUGUACAACUAUUUCGCACUGCUCGUGAUCGUUCGAUUAAAUUAACGGCUUUCUCAAUUAAAGUUCCAUCCGGCAUUUUUUCGUUGUUUCCACGUGCAUUGGAAAACCUCGAAUAUCUUCGGUCGAAGGAGAAAAAGAUGGCAAAAUAGUAAACGUAAUUUGUUAUUUAUUUAGAGAUACGAAACUGUAUUUAGUCUGUGAAAUCGAAGACGUUGGAAACAGGGGAGACGAUUCGCGGCACGAUAUUCAGACAGACGAUAUCAUUCGCGUUCGGGGAGCAACGUGCACUCGCGGCAUCUAGAUUCCGAUGAACAGGCGAGCCGCGAUGGUGUAUUGAUCUUUUUAGUGGCGUACCGUCUCCACAGACGCAAUCCAACUGCCGGUGCAGACUAAAGGUCUACAUUUCCCCGGAGACGGAUACGUUUCGCUAUUCCUAUAACACGCAAUUUGACCAGGGAAUAUUGCGUUCGCGAAUACACACGCUCGAUGUAUGUAGCUACUUACAACGACCAUCGACAGAGAUAGACGAGCAACGCCAGAAAGAGCCGUGUACACCGAUAAAACACGCGACCCGAGUCUGUGUUCUUGUAAUCGGCCGCGAGAACCCCGAUCUGCACCAAUUUAACGCGCACACGCGCACAACCGUCUUCACAUAUACUGCUCACUAUACGUACACAUUCGCGAAAGCACGACAGAAACGCGUAACCAUAUAGCGAUAUUCCAGUAGCAAUCUCGAAAUCGUAAAAAGUUAGCAAAUUCGUCGAAUAUCGUACGACACGCGAAUUAUAUCGGAGAAAUAAAAAAAUUUGGUAUUAGAAUUGGUUAAAGGUAGGAAACGAGAAUCGAGGAUGGAGAGGUUAAAGUAAACCGAGCGAACAACGAUACGGUUCGCGUAGGUGAUAUUUUUGAGGGAUCUGUACGUAGAAAGGAUGAGCGGCCGUCGGACGACGUCGCUUUCAGCUAGCGCCACUCCGUCUAGCGCGACGUCUACGCUCUGUCAACUUUGUUUUAUAUUUAAUCCGGGCCGCUUUAGCAAACAGUAAACAAACACUGUAUCGCAUAAGCGCCGCUCGAAUUAGCCUCGAUACCAUUUCAAACGGCCGACUCGCAUUUAUGAAGAUGACCGGGGAUGCUGGCCCACCCGAGAGAAUUUCACGUACUUACUUACAUAUAUACGUAGAAAGCCAGUGAACGGAACGUGAACGGCGCGGGUGGGGGAAGAAGAGUGCCGAAAGCGCCACGGGCCACGAUGUGGUAGUGGUGGUGGUGGAGAGCGACGGUAGAAUAGCGAGACAAAGUAGCGAUGGUAGGGGUAAGAUAGUAGUGGGGCGAGCCGCCAGAGGGAACUGGUGGGGACACGGCUGACGUCACGGAAUGCCGUGGUACCGCCUACCCGCAUGCAAUGGGCGGGAGUCUGGCGACGAUUUACGACCGUCGAUCACGGCGACAUCUAGUGACGGCGCCACGAACUCAACCUGCCUCACCGGUGGCCAUUACGAUCCCACGAUUGGCUGAGUACACGGUACAACGCGAAUCAGGCGACGGUUUAAAUAUGGAUUUUUUUCUUGGCCACGAAAUCGCGGCGACCGUGUCGUAUAAAUCAGGAUUGAUUUUCAAAGGGAAUCAUGGGAGGUCGAGCCGCAGCCGCGAUGUCCCUUUUAGCCCCGCAUUUGUUUCCGGCGGUAAAUCUAUAUUUGGCUAAUCGAACCGACGCUACUGCACACCGCGCCGUUUCCGCUGCUUUUUCGGAAGCCGCGACCAAAAGAUCGCCGUUUCGACUUUUCACGCUUUCUGUCUUCCGUUAGUCAACAAACUUUUUCAACGUUACGUCGAGUUACGACAGUUCACUGACCUCACCUUUGUCGUCGGUGUUAUAAAAUCUCCUUUGAUUCAUUUCUAGUUAUGAUCGAUUGUGACGGAAUUAAGAUUACUCUGGUAUUUGGCAAAUUGUUGUUAAAGAGCAGGAUUAACGAAAGGAGUGUAAUGGAGACAGAAACAUUAGGAACUGCAGUUACGAAUAUUUUGAAUUUGAAUGCCUGAGAUUAUUCUUUACGUGUAAUCCCGAGGAACGUGUAAUCCCCAUGGAAUCGGUAACUGAGCCGCUCUUACGGUCGAUGCACAAACUAGAUCGACGAUACUUAAACGGUAAAGCAUCCUAAUCCUCGUGAAAUGCGCAGAGGCUAAUGAUCACAUGCAGCUUGCAGUGUACAUCGCAAUAAACUGGAUGUGGACAAGUAAUGCCUUCAUUGACAGCUUUUCGCUAAAUGUUCCUAGCAUUUCUUUAAGGAGCCAAGGACGGCCGUUUGACGACCAACAGAAUCCAUGGGGUUAAGCGGACAAGAGUUAGUUCCACUUCGACCUACGCUCCUCUAACACCAUCGUUUCGUGUGCUGCGUCAAAAAAGUCGCGCGUGUACUGUGAUAUUAUCAUAGAAAGAGUUACGCUGCCUACCAAAAGUAUUGGCACAUCUAUUGAUAUUUAGUGCAAACUGAAUACUCUUCGGGUAUUUUAUUUAUAUCGUACCUGCACUGUGAUAUAAAAUAUCAAAAAAAAUAAAGUGUUUAUUCGAAUUUUUCAAUGAGUGUAACGAGUAGGUGUUGCGAUACUUAUGGUCGGUGGUGUACAUUUUGCUUAAAGGCUCGACGAGUGUUAUAUGAAUUUGAAGUAGUGAGUUUGAAUGUGCAAGGAAUGCGGUGGUUGUUCUCUCCGGAUAAAGAUGAGCCCUUGUUCGUGUGAUAACAUGUUUGCUGAUAAUGAGUAGGUAGGUGCUCUCUGGUGCACAGCCGACAUCUUCUUUUCUAUCCACUUGUGGCGUGUACUUUGUAUCUGUGCUUGGAACGUAACAAGAAGUUGAAGAGGAUCUUUGCACAGAAAAUUCGAAGCAACCAGAUAACAAGUAUGUAACGAAAAAUUUGUGCAGCUUCUUUAGGGAAUUAGUAAGGGAAUAGGAAGUUGUGAAACUAAGCAGCAAGUUCCUUUCGAUGAAAGUACGAGAAAAACAAGUUGAUUGGGUUGCAUUGGUGAAAUGUCACGAAGGUUAUCACGAAUGAAACCAUUUUUCAUUCAUUAACCGACCGUGUCUCGACGAAUAUUCUGGAAGAUGAACAUACUUGGAACUGUGCGGAUGACAGUACAAAGAUAAGCUGUCGUUAUCAGUCGACGAAACGACGCCUUGCCGAGCAUUUGCUUCCGUAAAGUGUUUCUCGUUCGCCGAGAUAGUUAGGGUAUUUUAAAAAAUCUCGUCAUCAAACAGAAAGCACACAGUGGAAAUCAGAAACACCGAGUAAUACGGUAAAAUUAUAUAAAAGAAAUUAUGUAAAAGAAAUUUCGAAAUACACGCAGAGUUCGUAACUCGGUCUCAUUUAUAACUCAGUUUCCGGGCUAUAUUUCACCGAAAGCAGUGGGUUCCACAUUUCCUGCAAACGAUAAUUUCUCUUACAGUCAAGUGCCAAAAACUGCAUGAAGCACAGCCCGUGACAAACGCGUUUGUACAUAGCAUAAGUAUGGUAGGAUCGUUGGCGUUGAGGCAGGUCAAGAACUCGUUGCCAUAUCAAUAUACUUAAGUGAAAUGAUACGAGGCAGUCGUAAAACCCGACAGUAAUGACGCAUUAGGGGGUUGCCGGGCCGAUUUAGUUGGCUAUCAAACAAAAGGCAACUUUUACUGAAUCCAACCGAGGCGGAGGCGCGCGUUUUAAAAGGUUCGGUCGAAGGAGUGCGCGGCGGCCAUUUAUACCUGACGUUUUAUGCGUUUUAUAGGUGCGACGUGCGUCUCGUGUGCCAAACGGCGCAUAAAAGUGCAAGCAGAUUGCUCGUUCUCCUCGUUACCGCGUUACGGAUUAUUCUUAAAAUUUCACACCUCCCAGCCAACUCGGAAACUAUUCACCGGUGGAUUCGCCAUUAAUUCUUCCACACCACGCUACGUUUUAUUCUAUUUGUUUCUUGCUUCCACUCGCAUGGUAAAUUAUAUAUGUCGCGUUUUAUGCUUCGUAUUCGAUCGACUUGAGAAUCAAUUAUUCACAAGUGUUUCUACUUUAUAUUAUUACUAUCUAACGAUGUCCGAAUGUUAUCGACAAUAAUUAUAUCAGAAUCGUGACGUUAAUAGUUUUAUAAUUGUAAUACAAAUAGACGACGGUGUUCGUAAUUAUGAUCGUUUCUUUGCAUUAGAAAUUAAACAUAAAUUCUUAACACGCGGAAAUGAAAUUGAUAAAAUCAAUGUUUUCUGUCGACGAUAUGAUUUCACGCUGUAAAAAGUCUGAUAAAAGAGCAGAAGAAAUAAUGGCUAUACGGACAAGUAUAAUAAGAAGGCGGCGCAUAGUUUUCUUAAGAAAAUGGAUGAUGAAUAUUUAGUGCGACAACAACAAUAGAUUAUCAGCAGCAUAAAGCGUGACCCGGAUAAGGUUUGAGGCAGCAUUUGGAAUCAUAAAUACAGUCGCGAUACAACAUCAGUAAACGUGCUUUUCCUGCGGAACGAAUAAUGCUUUCAAUGCGCUGGCACUUGCUUUCAUAAACCUGAUAUUAAGUUCGCGUUUAUCAUAAAACACCGAGUGUUCGCGUUAAGGGAAAAAAAAGAAAGAAAAUGAUAAUUUAUAGAGAAUUGUAUCGUUAAAAAUCCGAUUAGAGAUUCUUUCACGAGGAACGCGAUUUUUAUUACGUGUAUAAUACACGUGCAUUUGGAGUACCGAGCAAACCCGGCGAGAACUUCUUAGAUUUAUGAGCGCUACUAUACGCGCGAAAAGGAAAGACAGAAGGGAGAAAGUAGGAAGAUUGAUGGGAUCAAUAUGCAGUAAGUUUGAACAAUGCGUUUGAGGCUAAUGGGGGAGACGCGCCGUGAAAAACUUUGAUAUUAUCCCUAGCCAGGAAUACUUCUGCAUUCAAAAUUUAUUAACGAUUAUAACCUGGCGAAGGUAAAUAGAAAAUUAAAAAGUACGCGGCUACGUGUGAUUAUUCAGCUCGUUUUAAUUGUAAUUAUGAAAUGUAUGAAAAAAAAUGAAAAAUUACUGUCGAUGCAGAAGAUAAUAUACUUAAGCAUCUGCAUGCUCGAGUUAAUGUAAAUUCGAGAGGCUGUAAGUUGCCUGAACAACUCACGAUCAUCGAAUAUUGCGAAAUUUUAAAGGUCUAAUUAUUUAUUUCAAGUCUAUAAUGUAAUAAAAAAAUAAUUUUACUCGCCUUUUUAUUCAUUUUAAUUGGUUAUGUAGCGUAAAACGAAACAAAUGAAAUUUUGAUUCUUAUCGUUGUACCAAAAUAUAACAAGCUGGGUUGAAUCGAUUCGACUAGAAAUCUGGCCCUAAUGUGAAUUCGUAAUACGGAAAAUCGUGGAUGGAAAGAUAAGUGAGUAGCUCAAAAUGCAAAUGAUAAAUGUAAAUAUUUAAUCAUUGCGAUCGUAUACGCUGAACGACAAAUGUCGGAAUGAAAAUUUUAUAAAAAUUAAUUAGGCAUUCGCGCGAGUAAGAUAGGAUUGGAGAGUUUUCACGUGGUAACUGUAUAAUAUGUAUCUAAAAAAAAAAUGUCCGCCAAAUGAAAUUUUAGACCGUAGGAUAAACGUUGGUUAUAUGAGCAACGAUUGUGCCGACGACAAUUUCACUAUAUCGCUUAUUAAUUGCUUGAAAUGCGCAUCAAAUUAGUUGAGCUCGUAAACGAUACGUCACGUAUUCAAUUUACAAUCAUGACACUCGCGAUGAAAUAAAUUGAUGCUAUUGCGAUACUAUCGUUCGCAUAAUAAAUGCCGCGUUAUCGAAUGCAUACAUUCGGGAUAUUAGUUCAAUAUUCCUACAUAUAUAUAGACGAGAGCGAAGCAAUUAAUCGGCAAAGUUUUUCAGUUCGCGGGACGCCAGCGGAUUUAAUGAAUUUAUAAAAUAUAGCCGCCAUAUUGAAAAGCGUAUAACAUCGAACGAAAUUGAUGGUCGAAACACCAAUUACAAGAUAGAAGCUAUAAACCUACGAUUUAACGUGGACGGCGAGCUUGAAAGGAGAAUAUGAAAAAUAAAAUCACCAGCAGAGAAACGUUAAAGGGUAACUAAUAUUCUCCACUAUACGUUUCUAUUAUUUUCGUUACGAACCAGGCAUACGAGAAGAGAAUACGAAGACAUAAAAGGUAGAAAAAAGGGAAAAAAGGAAAGGAGACUUCUCUGCCAAAAAGGAUAUUGCAAAGUCACAGAGCGAGAGAUUAAACCAUGCUUCGAAUUCGAAUCUAUAAGUGUUUUGCUCCUCCGGGAAUCGGGCGGCGGCACGUGUCAAAGGGUGGAAGAAGAAGAAGAAAUUCAGCGACCGGGCAAUAAUGCGCAAGCGUAAACUGCGAUGGAGUUACUGGGAUUGUGAACGUGGCCGAGCGAGACGGCGUCUAUAGUCAAGAUGGCUGCCCUACUCCCUCCAUCGCGUCUCCCAUCGCUAUACCGGUUGGCGCGCCUGCCUCGAGGAGAACCAAGCCACAGCUCACAUCGCUAGCCAGAAACGGGUACAUACAAUCGCAUACUGUUUCGUCUACACUUACCCCAAAUAUUUUUAAACUUCUUCCACGCUCUUUUCUUCCUCUUUUUCUUGACGCGACGUCCGCCGCCGCGGCUUUUCGGUUGUUCCGCUGACUGUCGACGUGUACAGCCCUCCGAAAUCGUCGUCAUCCUUCCCCGUGGUCGUUGAUUUUCCACGAAAAGACACGCACGAAAAUGUAUCGUGCUGUGCGUCUGCUGACGCUCACGCAGCGCAGCGCUGCUCGACACACGCAGCAGUAGACGAAUAGAAUACGAAGGAGGGGAACGACGACAAGGGCGGGUUACAUGAAAGAUACAUGUAAGGGGGAAACUUGGAAAUUUCUGAUCUAUCUCGUGCACGCUGUAAAAAAUAAUGCGUCUGUUCUGUACAUUGGUAUUUUAAACUUCUUGUUACAUCGUUUUAUUAUAGCAUUAAAACGUCUAUAAACGUCUCUAAAUUCUUUCAAUGAAAAAUCUAAAGAAAAUAGAAUAUGUUAUCUUACGUCGUAUUUAAAUUCCAGAAAGGAACUACAUAAUCAUGCUGCGUCGAAUAAAGAAAGGACGUACGACUGAAAUAAAUACUUUUAGCGAAGACUGCGUACCAUUUAUAAAAUCGUACCGUUUCGGAAGCUGUAAAAUAAGUCGUCAUUAAAAAAUGUCCAAGGAAUAAUAUCGCGGCUCUUAUUUCGAAAAAUUAUUCGUAAUAAAACUUUCUUAAUGUCGGAGAAAAACGGAAGCGACUCUUUCUCCUUCGGCUGACUGAAACGAGCCUGGUAAUAGAGGCGCGUGUGUAAAACCAAACAAUAUCGAUCGUUAAAGCCACCGUGAAGGGAUAGUUUUCUUGGCUUCGAAAGGCUCGCGGAAGAUUUCCUAAAUCGCGCGGCAGUAACCGAGAUUCUUACCUGUGAGUCAAAGAGGCGGUCUAAGGAUAGGCAAAACUAGGGAUAAGUGGAAGAGAAAGGUCUGUGGUGGAAAAAGGAUAAAGUGACGGAGGCUGCGACAGAUGGACCGUGCGCGGAAGGUGGAAGGAGAAUCCUAAGAUGGCUGCCGUGUGUGCACGGCGUACGCGUCGCGUGCAACAACAACGUGGGUGAGCUAACGGGUGCCCGAUGUGGAAGUGCAAGCCAUAACUCGGUGAUUUUUCUCGGGAGUGAAUUCCAUUCUUGUCGACGAGUUUCGUUGAAAACGUUUUCGUAAACCGGCAGAAACGUAGCUCAGCGCACGGCCACGCCCUUGGCACGGGCAGCCAUCUUGCGUGUCAGCUGAGCGCGAUGCACCACGGUAGUCAGUGUUGCAACCUUAGCAACCAUCACGCGACUUACGCUGCGUGUACCCCUUGCCAACAUUGGCUGACGCUACUGUUCAGAAUGCAGAAGCGGAUUCGCGUAGGCACCGUUACGUGAUAGACAGGAUCAACGUCUGCAGGACGAUGGGGUAAGGAAGAUAUUGCUAAGCCGCAUUGGACAUGGUUGCAAGG